UUUCAUUUUGACAAUAAAUUUAAAAAUUUUCCAAAUACCCAUUCAUGUUCCUUUUCCUUUCUUACAGCAUCCUGUUCUUGUUUAAUGGAUGCACUAGUAGCUUGACUCUCUGGGUACAAUAGAGGUAUUUUUUAUAUAUUUUUUCUUUUUUUAAAAAAUAUCUGUUUCCUUUGAGGUUCGUUUUACCCUGUUUGCUUAUUUUGGUCUCUCUUAAUUUGCGGUCAUUUCUCAAAUGCCUGGUAAUCCAUGGUCAUAUACUCAUAUUUAGGAAUGUAGCAACAAAUACUUGAUUGGAAGCUCUGUGUAUGGGGGACAGUGCUAGUUGACUGGUGGCUUCCCUUUAAGAUGAUUGGAGGAGAACAUGACUGCUAUGCUGCAGAGUCCCCAAAUGCCAGAAUACAAAGAUCUUUUCUCUGAGGUUGUUCGGUUUCCUUAGUUAAGAACCCUCCGGGUUUUGCCUAAUGGGUAGACACUUGGCUGCUGUGAACUGUACACAAGGGGUGGGUUAAUGGUUAGAUAUACAGCCUUCCAAUUAAUCUCCCUGUUUUCAGCCCAACAUCUCACUCCCACUUUAUAUCAUACCUGGCAUUGUUAAGACCCAAGACACUCCAGGCUUCUGCAAAGAAAGAUCAACUCCUUCCUCGAUGGCAUCAUCUCCAUGCAUACUCCAGGCUAUGGCUUCCUCCACCAUGCUCCAUCAGUUACCAUUCCUCCAUUACUUUCUAUCUUCCAAAAAUGUGUUGAAAUCUCUCUUUUGCUGAUGGACCUGCUCUCAUUCUCUUCAUCAUUGUGUUUUUAUACCUUUUUUUAAAUUCCUUUACUAUCAUUUUAACAAGGUCUCAGGUGGGAGUGGAGAUAAACACAUGGUAAGUCUGCCAUCUUGACCUGGAAAUCUGGUCGAUAACGGUUUGUUUUUAAUUUUUCUGGUAAUUAUCUUAAUAUCUCUAAAUAAUAUGCAGAUUUUUCUGUUUAUCAACUUAUUUAUCACUUUUAGACAUUGUCUGUUGACUUCCUGCUAUUUAAAUCACCCAAUGACCCUCCUCCUGUGCACCCAAUAUAGCUCUAUUAUUAAUUAUAUAUUCUCUAUUCCUUACCUUUGUACCUUUAAAUAAUAGACUUAUACUCCUUUCAGCCUCUCAACUUCUGUCAUUUAUACUUUUAUAUUAAUAAGAUUAAUAACAUUUACAUUCUGGUCUGUAACCAUAAUUAAGUCAUCCAUACUUAGCCGACAGAUCAUUCUAAAAGUUUAAAGUCAAUAAAGUGUUUAUGUUAUUAUAAUUAUGUAAAUGUUGUUCCCUGAAGCUCCAAUUAGUGUACUAGGAUUACAUUUCUUUUCUUAUGCAUUUUUUUCCCUGGAGUUUCUAAUUGCCUUUCUUUUUUCCUUGCAUUGUCUGACUUUAUCUCCUUCUUAAGUUGUUCCAAAUUCUCAAGGAAAGUAUAAAAUCAUUUGAAUCCCCUUUUUUCCCAGAUACCUUCCUCCUGGAGCCCUCCGUCUUCCUGCUCCAAUUUGGACUGAUUGCUCUGUAGGCCUGCAGCACAACUGUCAUCCUGGGACGUCCCUUCAUUACUCUUCUGGGCUGGACCCAAUCUUUCCUGGACCCCAUAUCUUCCUCUUUCUUAGUUUACUCCUUUGUAGUGGACUUUGUGGUUGUUUUCCAGCAUCCAUUCCUCUCCUCCCCCAUUGUAUGACAACUAUACAAUUUGAGUGGGGUUGACCCCACUGCCAGCUCUAGGUAUAGUCCUUUAUUGGUAUAAACCAAUCUGAGUGUCACGCCCCCUUGCCACAGUGAUGAUUGGUUCAGGGAUGAUCCAGUCACACUGAAGUUUAGGACUUUUGUUCCAUUUUUGAGGGAAGAGGUGGCCUAUCUUCCCUUGGAUAUGACCAAAGAAGCAUGUAGCAAAGAAGCAUGCAGAAGGCCUACCUGAGGAUGGAGCUGACAAAUGGAGAAAGCAAAAGAACCACAGAGAAAUGGAACCAUAUUCCUGAUCAUACCAUGCCUGAAGUCUUCCCUGCCUACGAACUUCUCCCAGUUAAGUGAGCCAAUAAAUUACGUUUGUUAUUUAAGCCGGCUUGAGUCGAGUUUUAUAUUGCUUGCAUCUGAAAGCAUUCUUACACUUUUUUGCUGUCUCCUUUUAGAGAGGGAAUGAGUGUGUUUUGGGUUAUAUGAGGCACUAAGGGUAAGUGGAAGCAUUUUUGUAGAGUAACUUUGGGAAGAAGGGUGUAUGUGGAUGUUCGGCAACCAAAAAAGUGAACUCUACCAGCUGCCGGGCAUCUAAAUCCUCAUCCUGUUUGGGAGAUUCCCCACUCCCGUGAGUCCUGGUGGGAGGCAGGGCUCCACUUCCUACUGUGGAAACUGAAGGAGGUCAGAAACUUCCUUUCCCUACCCACCAGGCAACAAGGGUUGAAUACUCUGUUCAUGGCCUUGAAUCUAGAGUCAACAGUACAAGGGAGACAGGAAUAUACAAAAUUAACAUAUGGAUGAUAGAUUAGGAGAAUAUAUUUGCAAUGUGCAAAAGUGGCAAAAGAUUAAUAACUAGAAAAAGAAGAUAGUAAACCUAAUAGGAAAAUGGGCAAAUGAUACAAAGAGUAACUGACAGGAGAAUCUUGAAUUUACACAAGGGGAAACUUGAAUAUAUUAAGACAUUUUCAAAUGCACUAAUAAUUAGAAAGAUGAAAAUUAAAAUAACAAAUUGCUACAAGAAUGACAACAUGCAGAAAGUCAGGUAUUAUCAAAUACUGAUGAAGAUGUGAGGAAAAUUAUGGGUGGGAGCAUGAACUGAUACAGGUAUUCCAGAGAUUAAUUUGGCAGUACUUCCUGAGGUUCAGUCUGUGUAGAUCCUACAACAUAGAAACUGCACUCCUGAAUAUAUAUCCCUAGGAAAUUCUCACACAGGUCCUUAAGGAAAUAUAGUUGAGGUUGUUUGUUCUAGCGUUGUUUGUGUUUAGUGAGGAAUUGGGAGCAGUUUAGGUGUCCAUCACCAAGGGACCAGUUAAGCAAACUGGUAUAUUUAUAGGAUGAGAAAUAUAAAACAAUAAAAAGAAAUGAGCUAAAUUUACUAUAGCCAUACAGAUAGGUCUCCAAAGUCUAGCACUGAGUGAAAAGGUAAAAACAACAUGAGAUUUACAGCAGAACACCAUUUAUGUAGUCACACAACCCUGUCUGUUUUCAUGGGUAUGCAUAUAUCUAAGUAAACAUAUGGAAGAUGGCUUGGAAGUGUAUAAACAUGAAAUACACUCGAGUAGCUCACUGAGGUGGGCUGUAGAAUGGGAGUGGGGAUGGGAACUGAAAGGGAAAAAUAAUAAUACAAUGAAAUAAAGCAAAAGAGGGGCCUUGAAUGAACAGAGGAAAAUAACAUGCCAUGGAUUGAAGAGCAUGAGUAAGACAAUGCCGAAGUUGACCACAAAUAACUGGGACUAGACAGGAGGGCUAGAGUUCAUCCAUAGUGGUGUGUGGUGGUAGGAUGACAUCCAGGGGUUGCAGCAGUGGGGGUAGCAGGACCAGUGGCAGCAUUGUAACAUGGCUGUUCACCCAGGGUGGCCUUAGCUGUGGCUUCCGUGUCUCCAGGCUUCUGUGAACUACAUGAUAACCUAGUAAUAAGUCCCUUUUCUCCUUAAGUUAACUAGAGUCAGUAUCUGUUACUGGCAUCCAAGAAUCCUGACUGAGACGUCAUGCAUUUGGUUGGAGAACAUCCUCAAGUAACUUCUUGAGAAAGAGUUGUGCUGCCUGGAGCUGUGACAGCAAUCUUGUGACAGUGAGGGGAUGAACAUGAGGGUGAAGACGCAACACAUGAAGGAAGAAAAAGUUAGAGCCUGGUUCCCUGAUGGCAUCAUUGAGCAGUUGAACCCAUGCCACGCUGUUGUUAAUAAUAAAUUAACUUCCUUAAAAAUAAAUAAAUGAAGGAAUAAAUAAAGCCAUAUGUGUU